AUCAAUGUGAUAUACAUAUGAGAAAGAAAAUCACAAAAUAUCUUCAAACUUCUCAUGGCUAACAAUUUCCAUCAUGAAAUUACAUGUCCCUGAAAUAAAAAAGAAAGCAAAGUUUCAAUUCUAAUUACUUGUUAAAAUGCAAGAAAUGAUUUGAGAAAUCUUAAUGUUGUUUUGUAAAAGAGAUGACAACAAUAUCUUUGAAUUAAAAUACUACGAAAUACAUUAAAGAAUCCAGAAUGCACAAACUAGUUUGUCCCCUGUGGUAAUCUCCCUCAAUACUCAUCUUACAAAUGGGGAUAAAAAUAUACUUAUCAGACUGGCUCUUCCAAAAUGAUAAGACUUUUAAUUCCUCAAAUGAUGAAUUACAUUAAGAAAGCUUAGGAACUUUGACUCAAUAAAAAUUCUACCCUUUUCUGUUUUUCAGGAAAUGAACUUCUUUUUUAACUACUCUUAGUUAAACCAAAAUAGACUAAAAGGACGAUGAAACUAACAAAAAGAUCUGGCCAGUAAAAAAGAAAGAUCUCAAUUCAGCUAACACCACCAAACUUAUUCAUGCUAGGCAUAUGAAUUCCUAACACAUUUUUUCUUAAGGAUUUACUUAAGAAUUAUCUAAGAUACUCAUGAGAUCAUUUACUUAACUUCCACUUUAUUUUAUCCAUUAUGUGGUUCUGAAAUUCUGUUAACUCUCAAAAAUUUCAAAAAAUUUUGCCAGAGUUUUCUUUGUAAAUAGGCCUAUCAAAAACUUGUCAGCUAACCAGAAUACAUAUAAAUACGCUUCACAGAGCGUUACAACAAUGGAUAUUGUAAUGCCGUAUUGAUACAAGACUAUGUAUGUAUCAACAGAUUCCAACCAACACAAUAACAACAAGAUGAACAACAAGGUGCUAGUGAAUCAAAAUAAAAAUCAGCGGGGCAAUAAACUUGAAAAGGCUACCAAAAUUUGUGUAUAUAUUUUUAUUCCAUGCAAAUUGAUUGCAGAAAUGAGAAAAUUUCUUAAACCAAAUAUGAAUCUGCUUUACUUUUACAAUCUGUGCAAACAAAAAUUAUAUGUUUAUUAAAGGAUAAGAAGCCCCUCCACACCCCUCCAACCGCAACCAAAAAUGAAGUUCUAGUUUGCUCAUUCCAGACUAAACCAAUAGCAGCAGAGCAGAUGUGAAGAACUGAGAAUUAGCCUUGUAGCUAAGCCUUCUCUAGGUAAGCCAUUGUUCAAUGAAGAACCAAGGCGAAACCCAUUUUUCAAUGAAAUUAGUAAUGUAGCCAACUAAGUAAAACCCACAUGCCAAAAUGAACAAAACAACAUUAAAACAACAUCCAAAUCACAAAAAGUUCACGACUUUCAAGAAUACCUACUGAAAAAAUAUAGAAAUAAGAAGACUUUAAUGGUGUGAUUAGACCUUAAUAUGCUAUCUUUUUUUCUGGUCAGUUACUGAAUCAGUGCACAGCCAAAAAUAACUAAAUCCGACAUGCCAAAAUGAAUUAGAUAUCAUUAAAACAACACCCAACAAAUCACAUAAAGUUCAAAAUCAAAAUUAAGCAAAACCCACAUGACAAAAUGAACAAAACAACACUAAAACAACAUCCAAAUCCCAUUAAGUUCACAACUUAAUGCUGAAAAUAUUGAAAUAAAAAUACUUUGAUGGUGUGAUUAAGCCUUAACAUGCUAAAACUAAGUAAACCUCAACAACACCCAAAUCAAAUAAAGUUCACAACUUCAACAAUACUUACUGAAAAAUAUAGAAAUAACAAAACUUUGAUGGUGUGGUUAGGCCUUAAUAUGCCAAAACUAAGCAAACCCCAAAUGCAAAAAUGAACCAAACAACACCCAAAUCACAUAAAGGACUGUAAACGGACACAACUCCUAAGCUCGGGAAAUAUAAAGGCGGGCAUAGCUUUCUGCAGGUCAGACAGAAAAACGUAUACAUUAUAAUUCAUUCAAACCCAAGAUACCAUCAGUGUCCAGUGAACGCUAGGCUUUUGUUUCAUUGCAACAUCUGUGAAGAUAAUUUGAUCUGGUUACAGGCCUUGUGCAACAGAAUCUGUAUAAGCGAGCUGAAUUAGCAAGAAUUAACGUUUGCCUACCCCACCUAUCGUUUGCCUACCAACUUCAACCUAUCCUGAUACUAUCUCAAAAUCAAUGAAAACAAAUUCCACACAAUAUGAAUUUAACACACCAAAAUAUCAAACAAUUAAAAUUAAUUGAGAGAAAGAUAAGAAAUGGACCUCAAUUUAUUUCAAAUCCAACUUGUUCGACGUCGCCACCGGAAUCUCAAACAAACGUCAAUAAAACGAACAAAUCCAACUUCGAUCUAACGCCCUUUGCAUUGCCUCGCCAAAAUGGAACCAAGAAUCAUAAACUGAAAAUACCAGAACCCAUCCCGUAUCAUUUUCUGAUAGAUUUUCGAUGAAUAGUCGCCUAAAAGGGAACGGGGUAACUGUUCUUGUUGAAUAUUGAUCAAGUUUUUUUUAAGGGAUUUGGAGUGCGUUGAAGCUGGUUUUGAUCGAGUUUUGGGGAAGGGACAUUUCUAGCGAUGGUUAGAUCGAAAAACGUGGGGAAGGGGGCUGGUGGUGUUUCUCGGCGGUGGAUGACCCCUUUUCCGACGAGAUUCAGGUGAAGACUUACCAAUCUUCAACCCCUCUCUCUCUCUCCGUAUCCGAUC
rnacentral:lncRNA from 1 species